GAAGCUAACUAGACAAUCGCUGCUUUGUAGUAACAAAGGAGAGGAAAGUCCGGGCUCCAUAGGGCAGAGUGCCAGUUAAUAUCUGGGAGACGUGAGUCUACGACUAGUGCCACAGAAAACAAACCGCCUUAUUUAUUAAGUAUUUAUAUAAUUAAAUUAAGUAAGGUAAGGGUGAAAAGGUGUGGUAAGAGCACACCACAACACUGGUAACAGUGUUGGUAGGGUAAACUCCACUCGGAGCAAGACCAAAUAGGGGUUAUAUAUAUAAGUACGGCCCGUAUGAUGAACCCGGGUAGGUCGCUUGAGCUAGAAAGUGAUUUUUAGUUUAGAUGAAUGAUUGUCCAAGACAGAACCCGGCUUAUCGGUUAGCUUCUGCU
rfam:Candidatus Ishikawaella capsulata Mpkobe DNA, complete genome.